rnacentral:rRNA from 1 species
GGUUUAAUUCGAAGCAACGCGAAGAACCUUACCAGGUCUUGACAUCCCGAUGCUAUUUCUAGAGAUAGAAAGUUACUUCGGUACAUCGGUGACAGGUGGUGCAUGGUUGUCGUCAGCUCGUGUCGUGAGAUGUUGGGUUAAGUCCCGCAACGAGCGCAACCCCUAUUGUUAGUUGCCAUCAUUCAGUUGGGCACUCUAGCGAGACUGCCGGUAAUAAACCGGA